rnacentral:lncRNA from 1 species
GAGGAGCUAUUGGAAAUGGUCUUUUUGAAAAAUAUUUAUCUUUAUUUAGUGUGUAUGAGUGUUUUGCCUGAAUGUACAUGUGUGUACCACAUGCCUGCAAUAGUGCCUGUGGAGGUCAGGGGGAUGUGGGAUCUCCCGGAACCCGGGUUACAGGUAGUUGUGAAUCAAACCCACGUUCUCUGGAAGAGCAGCAAGUGCUCUUAACAGUUGAGCCAUCUCUCCAGCCCUGGCAACCGUCUUUUACAAACCCUGCCUCUAGAAGAGUAGAGACUGAAGUAGGGCUGCAGAGACCUCAUCCAGUAACUGAUGGAACCAGACACAGAGAUCCACAACCAAGAACCAGUCUGAGCUCCGGGAAUCCAGGUGAAGAGAGGGAGGAGGGAAUAGCUGAGCAAGAGAGGUCAAGAUCAUGAAGGGGACAUCUACGGAGACAGCUGAACCAAGCUCCUGGAAACUCAUCAACUCUAGACCUACAACUGUGGAAACUCCAGGGGACUGAACUAGGCCCUGCGUAUGUGGGAGACAGUUGUGAAGCUUGGACUAUCAGAGGAGCCCCUGAUAGUAGGACCACAAUACAAACCUGGUACAUGAGCUAGCUGGUUGGAGCCCCAUUCCUUAGAGUGGGUUGCCAUCCUCAGUGGAGGUAGGAGCACGAUAUAAUCCCAGUAUAUGAGCUAUCUUGUUGGAGCCCAUUCCCUCUGGUGGGAUGCCAUGCUCAGUCUUAAUGUAUGGGAGAGGGGCCAGGCCCUGUCCUAACUUAUUGUGUCAGACUAUGUUGACUCCUUAUGGGAGCCCUUACCCAUGAGGAGGAGUGGACUUGGGGUGGGCUAGAGGGGAGCUAAGGGGAAGGGGUGAGAGGGAGAACUGUAGUUGGAAUGUAAAAUAAAAUCAAAAAGUAAAAAAAUGGAAAAAUUAUAUUGAUUGAUUGCUUGCUUGCUUGCUUGAUAAGUUAGAAACAGGGUUUUAUGUAGCCCAGGCCUGCCUCAGACUGGCUAUGUAGCCAGGGAUGACUUUAAUU